AGCAAUUGACUGCGCUCAGGACAAGGAGAAUGAAGCUUGGGGAUCUCCACCAAAGACGUAGUACUUGUGAAGAUGUGGAUUCUUCUUCUAAUUGUGAACAAAGGGUAUUGCUGGCAGCCCCUCAUGACACACCAAGCCUUCCACUCAAUCACAUCUACCCCGAACACUCAUGUCCGGCCUACCUGAACCCAACUGACAACCGUAAUCCAGAGGAUCUUUUCACUGGCUGCCCCAAGAUCUGCUGGAAUAAAUUCUAGAGCUAAAUGACCUGUCGGAACUUAAAACAUGUGUGAAGACAUAUCUCUUCUGGCAGGCCUACCCAAUAUUAGUCAACAACAGGAGAGCUGCAGAUUUCCUGUCCCUGGCCUAAGCAGUUUUGGUUGAAGAGUAUCAGAAUGGCAGACAUCAGGUUGUAUGCUAUUUUCUCAAGAUUACACUGCAUCCAAAAUGGCUUACUGUUAUAUCAGAAAAAAUACACAAAUAUUUCCAGAUAAUUAAGUGACAAUUGUAGGCCAGUCCCACCUGGAUAAUUUCUAGGCAGCUUCAGCAGCCUUUGUGGCUGAAAUUAACCAGGAUUUGCCCCCACAGAGCGGGUGGAAAAAAAAGUAGACAGAGGAACAAACAUGGUUUGCAGUUAGAGAAAAGCUCGCUUCCCAAUUUUUCUUACUAAGUGGGGAGGCUUGGAAGCUGUGAUCUAUUAAAUACUGGCAUAACUGAGUGAAUCUCUGCUUAAAGUUAGAGCGCUGUAAGGGGCUGCAAUUUUGGUCCUGAAGGAAAUAUAUUUGCAUUUACUAUCUUUGGCGUUGAAGGAGCUGGGGCUGCCACUACAAAAGAGACAGGCACAAAUGUUCAUAAAUCGAUGAACACCAUAUUGUGGAAUGAG